UAUGCCGCAAGGUGAAAUACGAAAGUGCCUAAAGACGAGCUCGCGCCUGAUUAGCUAGUUGGUGGGGUAAAGGCCUACCAAGGCGACGAUCAGUAGCUGGUUUGAGAGAAUGAUCAGCCACACUGGAACUGAGACACGGUCCAGACUCCUGCGGGAGGCAGCAGUGGGGAAUUUUCCGCAAUGGGCGAAAGCCUGACGGAGCAAUACCGCGUGAGGGAUUAAGGCCUGUGGGUUGUAAACCUCUUUUCUCAAGGAAGAACCAAUGACGGUACUUGAGGAAUAAGCAUCGGCUAACUCCGUGCCAGCAGCCGCGGUAAUACGGGGGAUGCAAGCGUUAUCCGGAAUUAUUGGGCGUAAAGCGUCUGUAGGUUGUUUAAUAAGUCUGUUGUUAAAGACUGGGGCUUAACCCCAGGAAAGCAAUGGAAACUGUUAGGCUAGAGUAUGGUAGAGGUAGAGGGAAUUCCUAGUGUAGCGGUGAAAUGCGUAGAUAUUAGGAAGAACACCGGUGGCGAAAGCGCUCUGCUGGGCCAUUACUGACACUCAGAGACGAAAGCUAGGGUAGCAAAUGGGAUUAGAUACCCCAGUAGUCCUAGCCGUAAACGAUGGAUACUAGAUGUUGCGUAACUCGAUUAUGCAGUGUUGUAGCUAACGCGUUAAGUAUCCCGCCUGGGGAGUACACUCGCAAGGGUGAAACUCAAAGGAAUUGACGGGGGCCCGCACAAGCGGUGGAGCAUGUGGUUUAAUUUGAUGCAACGCGAAGAACCUUACCAAGGCUUGACAUGUCACG
rnacentral:rRNA from 1 species